GAUGAACGCUGGCGGCGUGCCUAAUACAUGCAAGUCGAGCGAACAGACGAGGAGCUUGCUCCUCUGACGUUAGCGGCGGACGGGUGAGUAACACGUGGAUAACCUACCUAUAAGACUGGGAUAACUUCGGGAAACCGGAGCUAAUACCGGAUAAUAUAUUGAACCGCAUGGUUCAAUAGUGAAAGACGGUUUUGCUGUCACUUAUAGAUGGAUCCGCGCCGCAUUAGCUAGUUGGUAAGGUAACGGCUUACCAAGGCAACGAUGCGUAGCCGACCUGAGAGGGUGAUCGGCCACACUGGAACUGAGACACGGUCCAGACUCCUACGGGAGGCAGCAGUAGGGAAUCUUCCGCAAUGGGCGAAAGCCUGACGGAGCAACGCCGCGUGAGUGAUGUAGGUCUUCGGAUCGUAAAACUCUGUUAUUAGGGAAGAACAAAUGUGUAAGUAACUAUGCACGUCUUGACGGUACCUAAUCAGAAAGCCACGGCUAACUACGUG
rnacentral:rRNA from 1 species